ensembl:lncRNA
AUUGACUGAGGAGGAUGGUCCUCCCCUUCCUCCACUGUGUUCUACUCGUCGGUGUGAGUAGAACAAAGCAUUGUACGGUAGCUGCAGGCCUGAAGCUAGUUAACUGUCUUCCUGUCUCUCUAACCACAGCUAUCAUGCCAUUAUGUGCUGCUGAGCUAGCUACCACCACACACACACACACACACACACACACCAGUCUGUGCUUUUUAAAUGAUACCUUUCAGUUGUCUCUCUGGUCUGUGUGUAUAACACUGUAUAUAAAUGAUAUAUUGAUUGUUUCUGUGUUUGUUUUAGUUUCAGCUACAAGAGGAAGUGACAUUGCAGGCUAUGUAAUCCUGUUUCUCAUAUUGUUGGCUGUUGUGUGUCUGGUGGUGAUUCUCUAUAUCCUGAGGAAGAAGUCCAGGAGGUACUCGUUUGAUCUGCAGUAUCCAGGUUAUGACCACGACACCCCCCUCACCUGCAUGGAACAACCCGGAACCUUCGAACCCAACAACGAUCAGGAGAUCUGGGAGUCUGAGAGAGAGGGUGGUGAUGAGGAUCCCCAUGCUAUGAGCCCUGUAGCUAACGGCUCAGCUAUGGGGGCUGGAGAGACUGGCUCUACAGGGGAGAACGAAGGAGAGAAGCAGGCUCAUGGUGAUAGUGACGGAGACAGCUUCAACAACUUCUGUGCCAGUGAUGUCACUCCGCCCAUAAAAAGGGUUGGCUUUAGCCUGGACCUCGACCUGAGUGACAAGGUGUUACUCGGCUCCAGCCCUGACCUUUGACCCUUGAGUGACAGGGUGUUACUCGGCUCCGGCCCUGACCUUCGACCCUGUAUGUCCAGAUAACGUCUUCACUGAGAUCAAGAUGUACAUAGCACCUUUUAUUUGAUCUAUAAAAUGUCAGAAUGUACACGGCUCCAGAUCAGUGUUUACUUUCUGAUACUGUAAUUCAUUUUAAUAAUGUUUUGAGCGUGACCAAGAGAGCGAUGUCACGUGGUUUUAGAAUGAAAAAAAUGUACUUCACAGAGGACUUGACGUGGUCAUUAUUAUUAUUAUUAUUAUUAUUAUUAUUAUUAUCAUUAUUAUUAUUAUUAUUAUUAUUAUCAUUAUUAUUAUUAUUAUUAUUCUCAUUAUUAUUAUUAUUAUUAUUAUCAUUAUUAUCAUUAUUAUUAUUAUUAUUAUUAUUAUUAUCAUUAUUAUUAUUAUUAUUAUUAUUAUUAUUAUUAUUAUCAUUAUUAUUAUCAUUAUUAUUAUUAUCAUUAUUAUUAUUAUUAUUAUUAUUAUUAUUAUUUGACCCUGCUGGUCAUCUAUGAACAUUUGAACAUCUUGGCCAUGUUCUGUUAUAAUCUCUACCCGGCACAGCCAGACUUGACGUGGUGUCCCACAUAGCCUGGUUCCUCUCUAGGUUUCUUCCUAGGUUUUGGCCUUUCUAGGGAGUUUUUCCUAGCCACCGUGCUUCUACACCUGCAUUGCUUUGCUGUUUGGGGUUUUAGGCUGGGUUUCUGUACAGCACUUUGAGAUAUCAGCUGAUGUACGAAGGGCUAUAUAAAUAAAUUUG